CCGACCGAGUCGCAGCCGACUUUGGCAACCUGCUUGACG
rnacentral:tRNA from 1 species